rnacentral:rRNA from 1 species
UACAGAGGGUGCAAGCGUUAUUCGGAAUUACUGGGCGUAAAGCGUGCGUAGACGGUUAUGUAAGUUAGGUGUGAAAGCCCCGGGCUCAACCUGGGAAUUGCAUUUAAGACUGCAUAGCUAGGGUGCGGAAGAGGGAAGCGGAAUUUCCGGUGUAGCGGUGAAAUGCGUAGAUAUCGGAAGGAACAUCAGUGGCGAAAGCGGCUUCCUGGUCCAGCACCGACGUUCAGGCACGAAAGCGUGGGGAGCAAACAGG